UACGGAAGGUCCAGGCGUUACCCGGAUUUAUUGGGUUUAAAGGGAGCGUAGGCUGCCCCUCAAGCGUGUUGUGAAAUGUACCGGCUCAACCGGUGAAUUGCAGCGCGAACUGUGGGGCUUGAGUGUGCGGAAAGUAGGCGGAAUUCAUGGUGUAGCGGUGAAAUGCUUAGAUAUCAUGAAGAACUCCGAUUGCGAAGGCAGCUUACUGCAGCACAACGGACGCUGAGGCUCGAAAGUGCGGGUAUCGAACAGGAUUAGAUACCCUGGUAGUCCGCACGGUAAACGAUGGAUGCCCGCUGUUCGCCCAUUAGGGUGAGCGGCCAAGCGAAAGCGUUAAGCAUCCCACCUGGGGAGUACGCCGGCAACGGUGAA
rnacentral:rRNA from 1 species